rnacentral:rRNA from 1 species
AUAAUAACUUAGCGAAUCGCAUUAGCCUUUGUGCUGGCGAUGGUACAUUCAAAUUUCUGCCCUAUCAAUUUGAUGGUAGGAUAGAGGCCUACCAUGGUUUUUACGGGUGACGGAGAAUUAGGGUUCGAUUCCGGAGAGGGAGCCUGAGAGAUGGCUACCACUUCUAAGGAAGGCAGCAGGCGCGCAAAAUUACCCAAUCCUGAUACAGGGAGGUAGUGACAAGAAAUAACAAUACAGGUCCCAAUACGGGCCUUGUAAUUGGAAUGAGUACAAUUUAAACCCCUUAAUGAGUAACAAUUGGAGGGCAAGUCUGGUGCCAGCAGCCGCGGUAAUUCCAGCUCCAAUAGCAUAUAUUAAAUUUGUUGCAGUUAAAAAAGCUCGUAGUUGGAUCUCGGAACAGGGGAAUAACUGGUCUGCCGGUUGGUAUGUACUGUUGUUCCCGUUCUCUACUGAUGGAAACUUAUCUCUACUCUUAAAUGAGCGGAGAGUAGAUCAGUAGAAUGAAUGUGUUUUCGAACUCAUUCAUU